rnacentral:rRNA from 1 species
UACAGAGGUCUCAAGCGUUGUUCGGAUUUAUUGGGCGUAAAGAGCGUGUAGGCGGCCAGGUAGGUCUGCUGUGAAAACUCGAGGCUCAACCUCGAGACGUCGGCGGAAACCAUCUGGCUAGAGUCCGGAAGAGGAGAAUGGAAUUCCUGGUGUAGCGGUGAAAUGCGCAGAUAUCAGGAAGAACACCCGUGGCGAAGGCGGCUCUCUGGGACGGUACUGACGCUGAGACGCGAAAGCGUGGGGAGCGAACAGG